GGAAUAUUGGACAAUGGGCGCAAGCCUGAUCCAGCCAUUCCGCGUGCAGGAUGACGGCCCUCUGGGUUGUAAACUGCUUUUAUUUGGGAAGAAACCCUGGGAUUUAUCCCGGGCUGACGGUACCAAAAGAAUAAGCACCGGCUAAUUCCGUGCCAGCAGCCGCGGUAAUACGGAAGGUGCAAGCGUUAUCCGGAAUCACUGGGUUUAAAGGGUGCGUAGGCGGUUACGUCAGUCAGAAGUGAAAGCUCACAGCUUAACUGUGGAAUUGCUUUUGAUACUGCGUAACUAGAAUCAGGUUGAGGUUGGCGGAAUGUGACAUGUAGCGGUGAAAUGCAUAGAUAUGUCAUAGAACACCAAUUGCGAAGGCAGCUGACUAGACCUGCAUUGACGCUGAGGCACGAAAGCGUGGGGAGCGAACAGGAUUAGAUACCCUGGUAGUCCACGCCCUAAACGAUGCUUACUCGAUGUGUGAAUUAUUGCGCAUCCAAGGGAAACCGUUAAGUAAGCCACCUGGGGAGUACGUUC
rnacentral:rRNA from 1 species